CCACUUGAAUCAUCAAAAUAGAUGUGAGAGUGUAUUUAUUCAUCAUUAAGUCAGGGUCUGCAGAACAGACCUCCACAGGUGGUGAUUGACAUCUCAGGUGGUGACCCAAUGUGAUAUCCAUCACAGCAGGCGCUUGAACACAGAAUGAACUGAUGUGAUCAUCUCUGUGAAGAAGGAGCAGUGGACUUCCCAAGAACUGGAAGGUAGAGAGGACUGUGCGGUCAUGUCAAGCAGUCAGUAAGUCAUUGGUACCUACUAGGGAUUGCUAAACUCAAGGAGGAAUUCUUUCAGGCUAGGGAUUCAUCAUGGAACAACAGUUAUCAGCUCAACGGAUAAAAGCACAGAACGUAAUUCAAACUGCUGCUUCCCAAGACCCAUGAUUCUCAGCAGAUAGCAUGCUGGAUGUAAAGCUCUGGGAACAAGUGGGGAGAGAUCAUGCACAAAGUCAUCCAGUGAAUAGGAAAAAAGGCCAAGGAAACAUUACAGCUAUAGAAACUAGUCUUAAGCAAGCAGCAUUACAGAAGAAACUCUUAGCCUGCCCGGUAACUGAUGAUCAGCAAGGCAAUCAGGUGUAUGUUUUGUUUAUAAAAGAAAAAGAAGACAUUACAGUCUGGAGUGGUGUGGCCAAGUAAAAUAAAAAUAAAUAAAUAAAUAAAUAAAAAGACUCUGGCGGAGAAGCUUCACCCAAGCCAGCAACCUCGUAGGCCAGUGGGGAGGUGGUGUGGAGCCAGCAGCAAGCAGCACUUGAGUGGGGCCAGCAUGGUUGUAGUCCUGGACUCAUGCUGCUGCUGCUACAGCUGCUCUCCACAGUGAAAUUUCAUGUGUUCCUUUUAUACAAGCAACAUCUCAAAUAGUAAUUCUCUGCUAAGAUUUAAGUAAAUUUAAGAAUUUGUAAAACCCUUUUCUAACAUUAGUCACUGUUGUUAUUCCAAACCUACCCUUAACAUUGCUCUUUAAAAAUCCAGUUUAAGUAAAACAGUAACCUCUGAAGGGAGAGAAAUUACAGCUAGCCCAUGAAUUAGUAAGGAGCCAUAAAGAGCCAGCCAUGUAGCUUUGUUCUUUAGUAGAAAAGAAUUUCCUAAUUGACUGCUAAGUUGCAAAACCACGUUUCUAUUUUAAAAGGCAACACUACCAGCACAAGCCUUAUUUACUAGUAAUUCUGUAAAUGUAGAUGACAAAUUUAAUCGGCUAUAAAAGAAGGCCCACAAAUUAAAGAGCAAUUAAAAACUAAGGGUGUAAAACCACACAUUAUCCUUUAAAGGAAAACUUUAAGCCAAAUUAAAUAAUAUUUGUUAAAUUAAGAAGUAAAAAUUUUGUGCCCAUUCUCAGAAGGUAAAAGACGUUGUAUGUUAAGUAUGAAAGACGUAUGCAUGAAAGACUGAUUAGAGAUAGUCUUUGCUCUACUAUUAAGUCACUGUUUUCAGAAUUGUUUUCCAGUUUAAGUUCAUAAACUUAGUCAGACUGAAAACUCAAUUGCAAGAUUUAUGCUAUUCUGCCUGUGGCUGUCAGCUCAUGGUUAAAUUAUAUUCUUUAAGUCUCUGCUUCUAGAGAUAUUUUCAGAUUUCUUCUUAAGACUUCAUGUUACCUAUCUCAGCUUGCUAUCAUAAUGAUUAAUGCAGUCAGUUGCUAAGUUAUGAUCCUGAUAUCAUCAAGAUUCCAUCAAGAGCAAUUCCAAGAAGUAUUGCACUUCUGCAUACCUAAUGCUUUAACACUGUUUACUGAUGGAUUAGGUAAACAAGAAAAAGCUGCAGUUUGGCAGAGAACCCAUAAUUCAAUCACCUGAUCUAUGUUUACUAGCAGUGAGAGAGCUGAGAUUAAAGCUAUGAUACUAGCAUUAAAAACUUUUUCAGCUUGGCUGAUAAAUAUAGUAAGUGACUCAGCUUACUCAGUUUAUCUACUACAAAAUCCUGAAACAACUUUUUAAGUCUAAUCUUGAGCACACAGCACACUGCCUGGCCUAUUGGCUUAUGGCAAUGAGCAAGCAGACUUACAAGUGAUAACAUCACUGCUUGACCAAGACAGACAGAAACAGAAAGAUUAGAGAGAGGAGUAGAAAGAAAAAUAUUAUAGAAGGGAAUUUAUGCAAGUAGAUUCCAUAAAUUUUGUUUUGAAAGUCUAAGCAAGUUUUAAAACAUUAAUGUAAAAGAAAUUCUGUGUGUAAAGAUAUUAGUUAAAAAGUUAAGGAAGUAUCAUCUAGUUUUUCUGUUAACUGGACAUUAAAAUAAAGCACAACAGAUUUUUCUUAAAGCUCUAACCUGUUCUUUUACAAAGAUUGUAAAAAGUUUCUUAGCAUAGGAACAACCACUAGAAUUUCCAGCACACCAGCACCAGCUAAGAGACUGCAUUCUCAUCAAAUGAUGGAAAGAAGAAAAACCUCAAGCCAGCAGAAGAAAGAUCUACAGGAUGACACAAGCCCUGGACCUCACCUGGAGAAUGCUGAAGAGGACAACGCAGAAGACUAAGGAAAUCAUGCUUAGGAUUCAACACAUCUCAACUGGACAAUUCCUUUACCACAAUAUUAUUUAUACCACCUUUGAUUCCAAGAGGCUCUUGAGUUGGAUGCCUGCUGGAUAAUCAACAAUAUGGCUCUGUGUGGCCAAUGGAUAGUCUAUGACUGACAGUGGCUUUUCCAGUAACUCUGAAAAUGACAUGAGGCUCAUUCUGAACAUGAGAAAUAUUCUCCUAGUUUAUUUUUCUUCACCCAUUGUCUGAACUUCAAGAAUGAAAAGGUAUGUGAUUGACUGUCUUUUCCAACUCUAAAUGUUAAUAGUUGUUUUGGGGUUAUGAAAAUAAAUGAGAUCAAAUUUGUGAGCCUUUCCUUAAUACCUUUCCAAUUUGAAUUCUUUGUGGAGUUACCUACUUAGAUGCUGUGAUAUAUAUUUUUGAUUAGAGUGAUUUUGAACUUGUAAAAACUAACCACAAUAAAGUUUCUGGAAUGCUUUUAAAUGAUUUGGUUUUUUUUUUUUAGAGAAUCAAUACAGUAGGUCAUAUCUCAUUGGGCAGUAUUUGCCUUUUCAUGGAACCUGGAGCUUCAAAUUUAUCUUAAAGCUUCCCUUUAAAAUUCUAAUAAAACCAACCAAAUUAUUAAUUACAUAAUUUUUAAUGUUUAUGACAAAUAAUUUUGUAUCAAAUAUUGAUUCAAUAAUGUUAUAUUAUGUGUGCUUUAAAAAUCUCUAAGCCACAAUUGGGAUGCUUGCAUAAUCAAUGUGUUUAACAAUCCUAUUUUGAUUUUUAAAAAUGUUUAUUACAAAUUAUAGGAAUAGGAACAACUCUGGAGCACAGUUCUCAGUGAGAGCAAUUCAGAAUAUGAGUGAUCUUCGCAUUUCCAACUGAAGUACUAGGUUCAUCUCAAUGGGACUAGUUGGACAGUGGGUGUAGCCCAAGGAGGACAAACUGAGGCAGGGUGGGGUACUGUUUCACCCAGGAAGUGCAAUAGCCAGAAGACACCCCCCAACCCAAUGGAGACCAUCAGGGACUUUUCCAGUCACUCCAGUAUGCCAGUUCGGAUGCUCUGCUUCUCCUGUGGUCUUUGCAGCCCAUAGACCAGGAGAUUCCUGCUGGCUGACAGGCACCAUGGGUUUCCAGUGCAAAUUUGAGCAGCUCUUUUGGCUGGCUCCUGGAUCACCUGUGAGACAGAGUCACACAUACCCCUGAGAGAAAGGGGACUGAAGGCGAGGAGCCAGAUGAUCUGUCUCAGUGGGUCCCACUCCCAUGGAGACCAGCAAAUUGAAUCCCACUAGCUUGGGAUUUUUGUAGCCAGCACAGCAAUUUGAGCUUGACCUGAGAUGGUUGAGCUCGGUGGUGGGGGAAGGGUGUCUGCCGUUACCAAGGCAGUCUGCCACUAUGGAGGAAAUCCACCACUACUGAGACAGCCUGCCAUUACCGAGGCAGUCCACCAUUACUGAGGCAGUUCUAACCUUACUCGUAUAAACAAAAGCACAAGUAAGUUUACACAGCAGCUGGGUGGAGCCCGCCAGCUCAGCAAUGCCUCUGCAGGCCAACUGUGACUAGACUGAUUCCUUUCUGGGCAGAGCAUCAUUGACAAAAAGGCAGCAGGGCAUCAGAGAAUUAUAAAUAAAGCCCCACCUUCCUGGGACAGAGCACCUGGGAAAAGGGUUGGGUGGUUGUGAGUUACACUGCAGCAGAAUUAAAUGUCCCUGCCCAGCAGCUCUGAAGGGAGCAAUGGAGCUCCCAGCACAGCACUUGAGCUCUGAGGAGGGAUAUACUGCCUCCUCAAGUGGCUCCCUGACCCCUGUAUAUCCAAAGAGACACUUCAAACAGGAGAGCUCUGGCUGACAUCUGGCAGGUACCCUUCUGUGACAAAGGUACCAAAGGAAGGAACAGGGAGCGAUACUUGCUGCUCUGCAGCCCCCAUGGGUGAUUCCCACACAAGCCAGGUCUGGAGUGGACCUCCAUCUGUCCUGUAGCAAAGGGGUAUGACUGUUAGAAGGAAAAGUAAACAACAGAAAGAAAUAGCUUCAACAUCAACAGAAAGGAUGUCCACUUGGAGAAUCCAUCUGAAAGUCACCAACUUCAAAGACCAAAGAUAGAUAAAACUGAGAUGAUGGGAAGAAACCAGUGCAAAAAGGAUGAAAUCAUCAAAAAACCAGAAUGCCUCUCUUCCUCUAAGAGAUCAAAACUCCUCACCAGCAAGAGAACAAAACUGGUAGGAGAAUGAGUCUGACAAAUUGACAGAAGCAGGUUUCAGAAGGUGGGUAAUAACAAACUUCUCUGAGCUAAAGGUACAUGUUCUAACCCAAUGCAAAUAAACUAAGAGCCUUGAAAAAAGGUUACACUAAUUGCUAACUAUAAUGACCAGCUUAGAGAUGAACAUAAACCAACUUGAUGGAGCUGAAAAACACAGCACGAGAACUUUGUGAAGCCUACACAAGUUUCAAUAGCUGAAUCAAUCAAGCAGAAAAAGUAUAUCAGAGAUUGAAGAUCAACUCAAUAAAAUAAAAUUAGAAGGCAAAAUUAGAGAAAAAUAAUAAAAAGAAAUCAAAAAAGCCUACAAGAAAUAUGGGAUUAUGUGAAAAAACCUAAUCUACGUUUGAUCAGUGUACCUCAAGGUGACGAGAAUGAAUCCAAACUGGAAAACACUCUUCAGGAUAUUAUCCAGGAGAACUUCCCCAACAUAGCAAGACAGGCCAGCAUUCAAAUACAGGAAAUACAGAGAACACCACAAUGGUAUUCCUCAAGAUGAGCAACCCCAACGCACAUAAGUUUCAGAUAUACAAGGGUUGAAAUGAAGGAAAAAACGCUAAGGGCAGCCAGAGAGAAAGGUUAGGUUACCCACAAAGGGAAGCACGUCAGACUAACAGUGGAUAUCUCAGCAGAAACCCUAUAAGCCUGAAGAAAGUGUGGGCUAAUAUUCAACAUCUUAAAAAAAAGAACUUUCAAUCCAAAAUUUCAUAUCCAGCCGAACUAAGCUUCACAAGUGAAGGAGAAAUAAAAUUUUUUAUUUACAAGCAACUGCUGAGAGAUUUCAUCACCACCAGGCCUGCCUUAUGAGAGCUCCUGAAAGAAGCACUAAACAUGGAAAGGAACAACCAGUACCAGCCACUGCAAAAAUGUACAAAAUGGUAAAGACCAUUGACACAAUGAAGAAACUGCAUCAAUUAAUGGGCAAAACAACCAGCCAGCAUCAAAAUGGCAGGAUCAAAUUCACACAUAACAAUAUUAACCUUAAAUGUAAAUGGGCUAAAUUAUCCAAUCAAAAGACACAAAAUGGUAAACUGGAUAAAAAGUCAAGACCCAUCAAUGUGUGGUAUUCAGGAAACCCAUCUCAUGUGCAAAGACACACAUAGACUCAAAAUAAAGGGAUGGAGGAAGAUUUACCAAGGAAAUAGAAAGCAAAAAAAGAAGGGGUUUCAAUCCUAGUCUUUGAUAAAAUGGACUUUAAACCAACAAAGAUCAAAAGAGACAAAGAAGGGAAUUACAUAAUGUAAAUAGGAAAGGGAUCAAUGCAACAAGAAGAGCUAUCUUAACUAUAUACACACCCAAUACAGGAGCACCCACAUACAUAAAGCAAGUUCUUAAGGACCUACAAAGAGACUUAGACACCCACACAAUAAUAGUGGGAUACCUUAACACUCCACUUUCAAUAUUAGAAUGCUCAAUGAGACAGAAAUUAACAAGGAUAUCCAGGACUUGAACUCAGAUCUGGGCCAAGUGGACCUAAUAGACAUCUACUGGAACACAUUUAAAGCAGUGUCUAGAAGGAAAUAUGUAGCACUGAAUGCCCAAAUGAGAAGCAAGGAAAGGUCUAAAAUUGAUACCCUAACUUCACAAUUAAAAGAACUAGAGAAGCAAGAUCAAACAAAUUCAAAAGCUAGCAGAAGACAGAAAAUAACCAAGACGAGAGCAAAACUGAAGGAGAUAGAGACACAAAAAAACCCUUCAAAAAAUCAACAAAUCCAGCAAAACCAAAAACAAAGCUGAAAAGAUCAACAAAAUAUAUAGAAUGCUAGCCAGACUAAUAAAAAAGAAAACAGAAGAAUUGAAUAGAUACAAUUAAAAUGAUAAAGGGAUAUAACCACUGAUUCCACAGAAAUACAGACUACCAUAAGAGAUUAUUACUAACAACUCUAUGCACAUAAACCAGUAAUCUAGAAGAAAUGGAUAAAUUCCUGGACACUUACACCCUCCCAAGACUAAACCAGGAAGAAGUUGAAUCCCUGAAUAGGCCAAUAACAAAGUCUGAAGUUGAGGCAGCAAUUAAGAGCCAACCAACGAAAAAAAGUCCAGAUCCAGACAGGUUCACAGCUGAUUUCUACCAGAUAUACAAAGAGGAGCUGGUACCAUUCCUUCUAAAACUAUUCCAAAUAAUACAAAAAAGAGGGAAUCCUAACUCAUUUAUGAGAUCAACAUCAUCUUGAUACCAAAUCCUGGCAGAGACACAACUGAAAAAGAAAAUUUCAGGCCAAUAUCCAUGAUGAACAUUGAUGCAAAAAUCUUUAAUUAAAUACUGGCAAAUUUAAUGCAACAGCACAUCAAAAAGCUUAUCCAUCAUGAUCAAGUAUGCUUCAUCCUGGGGAUGCAAGUCUGGUUCAACAUAAACAAAUCUAUAAACAGAAUCCAUCACAUAAACAGAACCAAAAACAAAAACCACAUAAUUAUCUCAAUAGAUGCAGAGAAGGCCUUCAACAAAAUUCAACAGUGCUUUAUGCUAAAAACUCUCAAUAAUCUAGAUAUUGAUGGAAAGUAUCUCAAAAUAAUAAAAACUAUUUAUGACAAAACCACAGCAAAUAUAAUACUGAAUGGGCAAAAACUGGAAGCAUUCCCUUGAAAAUAGGCACUAUAUAAGGGUGCCCUCUCUCACCAUCCCUAUUCAACAUAUUAUUGGAAGUACUGGCCAGAGCAAUCAGGCAUGCAAAAGAAAUAAAGGUUUUCAAUUAGGAAAAUAGGAAGUCAAACUGUCUCUAUUUGAGGAUGACAUGAUUGUAUAUUUAGAAGACCCCAUCAUCUCAGCCCAAAUCCUUAAGAUGUAAACAACUUUAGCAGUCUCAGGAAACAAUAUCAAUGUGCAAAAAUCACAAGCAUUCCUAUACACCAAUAACAGACAAACAGAGAGCCAAAUCAUGAGCGAACUCCCAUUUGCAAUUGCGGCAGAGAGAAUAAAAUACCUAGGAAUACAACUAACAAAGGACGUGAAGGACUUCUCCAAGGAAUACUACAAAACCCUGCUCAAGGAAAUAAGAGAGGACACAAACAGAUGGAAAAAUAUUCCAUGCUCAUAGUUAGGAAGAAUCAAUAUCAUGAAAAUUGCCAUACUGCCCAAAGCAAUUUAUAGAUUCAAUGCUAUCCCCAUCAAGCUACCAAUGACCUUCACGGAACUGGAAAACACCACCUUAAACUUCAUAUGGAACCAAAAAAGGGCCUGCAUAGCCAAGAUAAUUCUAAGCAAAAAGACCCAAACUGGAGGCACCACACUACCUGACUUCAAACUAUACUACAAGGGUACAGUAAUCAAAACAGCAUGGUACUGGUACCAAAACAGAGUUAUAGACCCAUGGAACAGAACAGACUCCUCAGAAGUAAUGCCACACAUCUACAACCAUCUGAUUUUUGACAACCCUGACAAAAACAAGCAAUGAGGAAAGGAUUUCCUGUUUAAUAAGUGGUGUUGGGAAAACUGGCUAGCCAUGUGCAGAAAGCAGAAACAGGACCCCUUCCUUACACCUUAUAAAAAAUUAACUCCAGAUGGAUUAAAGAGUUAAACAUAAGACCGAACACCAUAAAUAUCCUAGAGGAAAACCUGAGCAAUACUAUUCAGGACAUAGGCAUAGGCAAGGACUUCAUGACUAAAACAUCAAAAACAAUGACAACAAAAGCCAAAAUAGACAAAUGGGAUCUAAUUAAACUUAGGAGCUUCUGCACAGCAAAAGAAACAACCAUUAGAGUAAAACGGCAACCAACAGAAUGGGAAAAAAUAUUUACAUCUGAAAAAGGGCUAAUAUCCAGAAACUACAUAGAACUAAAACACAUUUAUAAGAAAAAAACAAAUAAUCCCAUCAAAAAGUGGGCGAAGGAUAUGAACAGGCACUUUUCAAAAGAAAACAUUUAUGUCGCCAACAAACAUAUGAAAAAAUGUUCAUUAUCACUGGUCAUUAGAGAAAUGCAAAUCAAAACCACAUUGAGAUACCAUCUCAUGCCAGUUAGACUGGUGAUCAUUAAAAAAUCUGGAGACAACUGAUGCUGGAGAGGAUGUGGAGAAAUAGGAACACUUUUACACUGUUGGUAGGAGUGUAAAUUAAUGCAAUUGUUGUGGAAGAUAGUGUGGUGAUUCUUUAAGGAUCUAGAAAUAGAAAUUCCUUUGACCCAGCAAUCCCAUUACUGGGUAUAUAUCCAAAGGAUUAUAAAUCAUUCUGUUUUAAAGACACAUGCACAUGUAUGUUUAUUGCAGCACUAUUUACAAUAGCAAAGACUUGCAACCAACCCAAAUGCCCAUCAAUACUAGACUAAAUAAAGAAAAUGUGGCACAUAUACACCAUGGAAUACUAUAUAGCCACAAAAAAGGAUGAGUUCAUGUCCUUUGCAGGGACAUAGAUGAACCUGGAAACCAUAAUUCUCAGCAAACUGAUGCAAGAACAGAACACCAAACACCACAUGUUCUCACUCAUAAGUGGAUUUUGAACAAUGAGAAAAAUGGAUGCAGGAAGGGGAAUGUUACACACUGGGGUCUGCUGGGAAGUGGGGAGCUAGGAGAGGAACAACAGGGGUGGGGAGGUUGGAGAGGGAUAACAUUAGGAGAAAUACGUAAUAUAGGUGACCAGGGGAUGGAGGCAGCAAACCACCACAGUAUGUGUAUACCUAUGUAACAAUCCUGCAAGAUCUACACAUGUACCUCACAACUUAAAGUAUAAUAAUAAUUAUAAUUAAAUAAAACAUUCCUAAAAAAAUUAUAGUCUUGAGAUAUUCAUAUAAAUGGUAAAGUACA